CUAUACUGCAGUCGAGCGGACAGAAGGGAGCUGCUCCCGGAUGUAGCGGCGGACGGGUGAGUAACACGUGGGUAACUGCUGUAAGACUGGGAUAACUCCGGGAAACCGGAGCUAAUACCGGAUAGUUCCCUGAACCGCAUGGUUCAAGGAUGAAAGACGGUUUCGGCUGUCACUUACAGAUGGACCGCGGCGCAUAGCUAGUUGGUGAGGUAACGGCUCACCAGGCGACGAUGCGUAGCCGACCUGAGAGGGUGAUCGGCCACACUGGGACUGAGACACGGCCCAGACUCCUACGGGAGGCAGCAGUAGGGAAUCUUCCGCAAUGGACGAAAGUCUGACGGAGCAACGCCGCGUGAGUGAUGAAGGUUUUCGGAUCGUAAAGCUCUGUUGUUAGGGAAGAACAAGUGCAAGAGUAACUGCUUGCACCUUGACGGUACCUAACCAGAAAGCCACGGCUAACUACGUGCCAGCAGCCGCGGUAAUACGUAGGUGGCAAGCGUUGUCCGGAAUUAUUGGGCGUAAAGGGCUCGCAGGCGGUUUCUUAAGUCUGAUGUGAAAGCCCCCGGCUCAACCGGGGAGGGUCAUUGGAAACUGGGAAACUUGAGUGCAGAAGAGGAGAGUGGAAUUCCACGUGUAGCGGUGAAAUGCGUAGAGAUGUGGAGGAACACCAGUGGCGAAGGCGACUCUCUGGUCUGUAACUGACGCUGAGGAGCGAAAGCGUGGGGAGCGAACAGGAUUAGAUACCCUGGUAGUCCACGCCGUAAACGAUGAGUGCUAAGUGUUAGGGGGUUUCCGCCCCUUAGUGCUGCAGCUAACGCAUUAAGCACUCCGCCUGGGGAGUACGGUCGCAAGACUGAAACUCAAAGGAAUUGACGGGGGCCCGCACAAGCGGUGGAGCAUGUGGUUUAAUUCGAAGCAACGCGAAGAACCUUACCAGGUCUUGACAUCCUCUGACAACCCUAGAGAUAGGGCUUUCCCUUCGGGGACAGAGUGACAGGUGG
rnacentral:rRNA from 1 species